GCAUCGGUGGCAGAGUGGUUUAAUGUGCAGGGUUUGCAACCCUUGACCUGUUUGUCAACCCAAACAGACGCGGGUUCGAAUCCCGCCCGAUGCUCCA
rnacentral:tRNA from 1 species